CGCCGGUGAGGCGGAUCCUCUGGGAGCUUCUUGCGCGGCGCUGCUUCAGUUGGUGUCCCGGAGCCCCAAGGAGCCGGUCGACCUGGCGGCAGCUGUUGGCUGUGAGGCAUUUUAAGGCCCUUUUUUUGUUCGAGGCUCGCUUUUUCGCAGGCCGUGCCCGAGAGGAAAGCGAGCGGGCUGUCUUGUGGUCGCUUUUGUGGAGACUCCUGAGCGUCUCUUGGUCCUCACGGCUCGGUGGUGCCUGCCUUCUCGUCAUGGCGGUCACCAACGAAACCGGGCUGUCUCCUCAGGCGCCACCGCAGGGCCGAGAUCCCUCUUCUCGGGAAAAGAGCCCUCAGCAGGUCAAUGAAACUUCUGAGCAGAAUGAGAGCUCUGCAGUAGCUGGUGAAAUGGGGACUGAGCAGCAGAAAGCAGAAGGCACUGGUUAUAAAAAUACUGAAAAUCUGAGAUCUAGCAAGAGGACAGAUGAGAUGACAAACUUCAUGGAUCACUUGACUUUGAGUUCACCAAAAGAGAUGUCUCGUUCAAGGUCAAGGAGCAGCUGUAGCAGGAAAUCCUCCUCAAGAUCAUCUAGCAGGUCAUCUUACAAUUCACAAGCUAGUUCAAGCACUUCAUCUUCAAGAAGCUCUAGGAGUAGUUCUAGGAGCAGAUCAAGAUCACGUGCUAAAAGGAAUUGUUCUCAGAGGUUCAGAAGAUAUUCAAGGUCUUAUUCUAGGAGUCAAUCAAGAUCACGCAGUUACAGAUAUCGAGAAAGGUACCAUCCUAGAUACUACAGGAGAUACCGUUGUUCUCCUCCAAGAUACAGAUCACGGAGCCGGUCUGCUGGAAGAUUGUACUAUAGGAGAUCUUACUCAAGAAGCAGAUCGAGAAGCCAAAGAUAUUAUGGAUUUGGAAGGACCAUAUAUCCUGAGGCUUAUAGAAGCUGGAGAAGCCGCUCCCAAUCAAGAUCCCGCAGUAGAACUCCUCUACGCUUGACUAAAAAAGAAAAGAGAGAACUACUGGAAAUAGCAAAGGCUAAUGCAGCAAAAACCUUUGGAACAGACACUACCUUGCCAGCCAGCUUGAGAAUCAGUACAAAAUUAAAAGGAAAUGAAAUUGGAAGCCAAAAGACAACAGCAUAGGGUCAGAGAAAUGAGGAAUAUUGUCUCCAGCACUGAUGAAGAAAAUCUGGUGGUAAUUAAGUGAUUGUGGGCUGUAGCUGUGCUGACUUAGGGGAGGGAAAUAUGAGCCACGCUAAUAAAGCUUUGUCAUGUUAACACAUUUUCAGAUAGUUGGAAAACUUUUAUUCAGAUGUUCCUGCUCCUGUAUAGCAGGGAACUAGUUUUAUUUAGUAAUUUAAGCAAGGAUUUUAUGCAACUGUAAACUGGUAUAGGUGACCCUCAUGAUAUGUGCAAUAUAUUCCAGAUGUUGAAAGUCAGAAGAAGCAGCUUGCAUCACUUGCAGAUAAGUUAUUGAUCUUACACAAAUCUUUGCAGACUUUAUAUGCAGGAGUCAAUGGAGGUCAUUAUUUUAAUGAGAUUACACUUCAUGAAUUCAUUUCCCAAUUACGUAGUGAUAACCUAAACUCUGGGGAUGGAUAUGAAGGCUGUACACAGUAUGUUUACUGAAAAUAACAAGCACGAAAUUACUAAUAAAUAUGCGGUAACUUGUCCGCACCUGAAGCCUGAUUCUGACCUUGUUAAUUGAAUAGGUUUACUGGGAAAUAUUUCCAGGUAAGGAAGUUUAAAACCGCAUCUAUAGCAUGUGCAUUUUAGCUUCGAGACAAAAAAACCUAUAACUGCUCAGCCAUCUAGGUGACAUUGGUUUUAAAAUACAAACCUCCCUCUCUAGCAAUCCAGAAAGCAAACUGAAGAUGGCAAAAAUGGAACUGAGACUGCUUCUGCAAUGAAGGGCAUAGUAUUCAGUCCUAAUAAUUCAGUGGCAAGACUAGUGGCCUCGAAACCAGUAAGUCUUCCUUUUAAUGUGACUGCAGUAUCCCAAGGAAGAGACGAAACAAGGGGAGACACCAUCUGAGCAAUGGAUUCCUGUUAAGAAUGAGGGAAAUGCCCUGUUCCAUAAUUUUCACCUAAAACUACAUCUUUUAGAGGACGCUAGUUCUGUUCAUUGAGUAGUUGAGGCAGUAUGAAAUCCUCUCAAAAUUUAGGGUUUAAAUGCAGGGUUAAUUUGAUAUUGAGUUUGUUUUCCAGAUAUAAAAUAGAGUACAGAGGCCCAGAAAUUACAGGUGGGAAUUUACAUUUCUGUAAUUACCUUUAAUGUAAUGGUACCAGAUUAAAUUACAGGUGGGUAUCUCUUUUCUAAGUGUGAGUCAUGUAGCAGUUUUCAAUGUUCUACUAUGUGUAACUUGAUUACUACAAAUAAACCUAUGUUUUGUACAUUUCAAUACUGUUGAGUCAACACUUUAAACAGUGUGAUUUAUGGCUCCUGCUGGUAAUUCAAUUGGCUUGUUUAGUUGCCCCAUAUUUCCUGAAUGCAGCUGUAUUUUGCAAAAGGCAAGACAGUGAAAAAAUGCCACUUGUUCUCUUAAAGUGAUGAAAUCCUAACUUUGGCAUCUGCAUAGUUGUAGUUCCUACACUUUUAGUUAAACUUGAUAUUGGAAAAGCUUAAUUAUGACGCUCUGAGCUUGUUAUGCAUGUUCUAAGUAACUGCCUUUAGGUAAGGUCUUGGUUGUAGAUUUUGAAAUUUAAGUUUUUCCUUGCUCUUUACCGGAAAGGCUUACAUUUUAAUGGAAACGCAAUUUAAGCAGGCUAUAGUUCAAGCAGAAAGGGCUGCUCAGGGCAAGCUUUGUUACUAGAUCUCAAAUUGAAUGUCAUAUGAAACCAGCUAUUAGGGAGUCCAUUCGUUGCAUAGAUUUAUUACUGUGUAGCUAAGUGGGGUUGGUUUGUAUGACAUUCAAGGAGAAGAUGCUGGACUACACUAAUUGGUUCAGAAGCUAAAAUUAAGGAACACUUCGUAUAAACGACACCUUCCCUUCAAUCUCCAUACUACUGGAACAUAUGUAUAAAACAAAGUUUUUUAAAAAAUAAACCUGUUCUAAAUA